rnacentral:rRNA from 1 species
GACGAACGCUGGCGGCGUGCCUAAUACAUGCAAGUUGAGCGCUGAAGGUUGGUACUUGUACCGACUGGAUGAGCAGCGAACGGGUGAGUAACGCGUGGGGAAUCUGCCUUUGAGCGGGGGACAACAUUUGGAAACGAAUGCUAAUACCGCAUAAAAACUUUAAACACAAGUUUUAAGUUUGAAAGAUGCAAUUGCAUCACUCAAAGAUGAUCCCGCGUUGUAUUAGCUAGUUGGUGAGGCAAAGGCUCACCAAGGCGAUGAUACAUAGCCGACCUGAGAGGGUGAUCGGCCACAUUGGGACGGAGACACGGCCCAAACUCCUACGGGAGGCAGCAGUAGGGAAUCUUCGGCAAUGGACGAAAGUCUGACCGAGCAACGCCGCGUGAGUGAAGAAGGUUUUCGGAUCGUAAAACUCUGUUGGUAGAGAAGAACGUUGGUGAGAGUGGAAAGCUCAUCAAGUGACGGUAACUACCCAGAAAGGGACGGCUAACUACGUGCCAGCAGCCGCCGCUGUAA